GACGAACGCUGGCGGCGUGCUUAACACAUGCAAGUCGAACGGAGUUACGUAUGAAGUAUUUCGGUACGGACUACAUAACUUAGUGGCGAACGGGUGAGUAACACGUGGGCAACCUGCCCUUAACCGGGGGAUAACAUUGUGAAAACAGUGCUAAUACCGCAUAACAGAGUAUCGGGCAUCCGAUAUUUUUAAAAGGAGCAAUCCGGUUUAAGGAUGGGCCCGCGUCCAAUUAGCUAGUUGGUGAGGUAACGGCUCACCAAGGCUACGAUUGGUAGCCGAACUGAGAGGUUGAUCGGCCACAUUGGGACUGAGACACGGCCCAGACUCCUACGGGAGGCAGCAGUGGGGAAUAUUGGGCAAUGGGCGAAAGCCUGACCCAGCGACGCCGCGUGAAGGAUGAAGGUCUUCGGAUUGUAAACUUCUUUGAUCAGGGAAGAAAGAAAUGACGGUACCUGAAGAACAAGCCACGGCUAACUACGUG
rnacentral:rRNA from 1 species